AAACAUACGUUGAUGAGGAGGAGUACAUUUUGUAUUCUUGAAGAGAGUUUCUGGUGGGUGUGAAGAAACAGAAGAAAAAAUGGAAGGUAGCCUCGGAGUAUGUUUAUUGAAAUCAUGUAGGUAAACACGUAGAACUGCGUUAAAGUUUUGAGGUAUACGAAAGUAUAUAAAUUAAGGUGGUACCACGAGCAUUCGUCCUUAUA
rnacentral:ncRNA from 1 species